CCUACGGGUGGCAGCAGUGGGGAAUAUUGGACAAUGGGCGAAAGCCUGAUCCAGCCAUGCCGCGUGUGUGAAGAAGGCCUUCGGGUUGUAAAGCACUUUCAGUGGGGAAGAAAGCCUUGGGGCUAAUACCCUCGAGGAAGGACAUCACCCACAGAAGAAGCACCGGCUAACUCCGUGCCAGCAGCCGCGGUAAUACGGAGGGUGCGAGCGUUAAUCGGAAUUACUGGGCGUAAAGCGCGCGUAGGCGGUCUGAUAAGCCGGUUGUGAAAGCCCCGGGCUCAACCUGGGAACGGCAUCCGGAACUGUCAGGCUAGAGUGCAGGAGAGGAAGGUAGAAUUCCCGGUGUAGCGGUGAAAUGCGUAGAGAUCGGGAGGAAUACCAGUGGCGAAGGCGGCCUUCUGGACUGACACUGAGGCUGAGGUGCGAAAGCGUGGGUAGCAAACAGGAUUAGAUACCCCAGUAGUC
rnacentral:rRNA from 1 species